CCUACGGGAGGCAGCAGUGGGGAAUAUUGCACAAUGGGGGAAACCCUGAUGCAGCGACGCCGCGUGAGCGAUGAAGGCCUUCGGGUCGUAAAGCUCUGUCCUAAGGGAAGAAUACUGACGGUACCUUAGGAGGAAGCCCCGGCUAACUACGUGCCAGCAGCCGCGGUAAUACGUAGGGGGCAAGCGUUAUCCGGAAUCACUGGGCGUAAAGGGUGCGUAGGCGGCUAAGUAAGCCAGGGGUGAAAGGCUACGGCUCAACCGUAGUAAGCCUUUGGAACUACUUAGCUUGAGUGCGGGAGAGGAGAGUGGAAUUCCCAGUGUAGCGGUGAAAUGCGUAGAUAUUGGGAGGAACACCAGUUGCGAAGGCGGCUCUCUGGACUGUAACUGACGCUGAGGCACGAAAGCGUGGGGAGCGAACAAGAUUAGAUACCCCUGUAGUC
rnacentral:rRNA from 1 species